UACGAAAGGGGCUAGCGUUGUUCGGAAUUACUGGGCGUAAAGCGCACGUAGGCGGCCUUGUAAGUUGGGGGUGAAAUCCCGGGGCUCAACCCCGGAACUGCCUUCAAGACUGCAAAGCUAGAGGACGCGAGAGGUUAGCGGAAUUCCGAGUGUAGAGGUGAAAUUCGUAGAUAUUCGGAAGAACACCAGUGGCGAAGGCGGCUAACUGGCGCGUUUCUGACGCUGAGGUGCGAAAGCGUGGGGAGCAAACAGG
rnacentral:rRNA from 1 species